UACGAAGGGUGCGAGCGUUAUUCGGAAUCACUGGGCGUAAAGGGUGCGUAGACGGUAUGUUAAGUUCGUUGUUAAAGGCUCCAGCCUAACUGGAGUAUCGCAAUGAAAACUGGCAAACUAGAGGGUGAGAGAGAGAAGUGGAAUUCCUGGAGUAGCGGUAAAAUGCGUGGAUCUCAGGAGGAACACCAAUGGCGAAGGCAGCUUCUUGGCUCAUUCCUGACGUUGAGGCACGAAAGCGUGGGGAGCAAAC
rnacentral:rRNA from 1 species